CGGGGGGCAGCAGUGGGGAAUUUUGGACAAUGGGCGCAAGCCUGAUCCAGCAAUGCCGCGUGCAGGAUGAAGGCCUUCGGGUUGUAAACUGCUUUUGUACGGAACGAAAAAGUCUGCCCUAAUACGGUGGGCCCAUGACGGUACCGUAAGAAUAAGCACCGGCUAACUACGUGCCAGCAGCCGCGGUAAUACGUAGGGUGCGAGCGUUAAUCGGAAUUACUGGGCGUAAAGCGUGCGCAGGCGGUUAUAUAAGUCAGAUGUGAAAUCCCCGGGCUCAACCUGGGACCUGCAUUUGAGACUGUAUAGCUAGAGUACGGUAGAGGGGGAUGGAAUUCCGCGUGUAGCAGUGAAAUGCGUAGAUAUGCGGAGGAACACCGAUGGCGAAGGCAAUCCCCUGGACCUGUACUGACGCUCAUGCACGAAAGCGUGGGGAGCAAACAGGAUUAGAUACCCGGGU
rnacentral:rRNA from 1 species